ensembl:lncRNA
GCCCCCUGGGCCAGGAAACCCGGAUCCUUGCCAGCUCCAGAACCUCACCAGCUCUGCCAGGUGCUAUAGACACGGAAAUGAAGGACUCACUUCCUGUUUCCAUAGCCACAUAACUCCAGUAGAGUCUCAGCUGUGCUGGACAAUCAAGACACUGUCAAGAAGCCAGAGUGAGAGGCGAACCCCUUCAUGGUUGUGUGAGACUCUCAUCCCCAAGAUUCUACAAGACAAGUCAACCCUCACCCUGAACUGCCUCGGCGGAAUACCUUUUAGACUUCCAGGCCUUCCUUGAUCUUCCAACUCUUCUUACCCCUCUGCUGUCUGAGUGCCGGAGCAGUGGGCAUAUACCACCUUGCCCAGCUACAAACUUGGGAUUUUAAAAAACUUGUUAGUACCUGUUGAGACUGAAGUCUAAAGCGUAAUAAAAAGGGUGUUUGUGUUGUCAUUUCUGAGGGUGACACAGUGGAAAGACAACUUAGAAGUGCGGCAUUUAGAAACAGCUGAUCUUUUUUGAAAUGGGAUCUUCUGUUAUGGAAUUUGCCCUGUGGUCCUGGCUGGCCUAGAGCUCUUGGUAAUCGCUCUACCUCUGACUCCCUAGAGCUGGGCUUACAGAAAUCAUCCAUGUUUCGCUUUCCUACCUAUCUUAAAGCUUACUUCCUAAUUAAGUGGUUAGCUAUAGAUUCAUAACUUCUUCUCAGAGAAUCGUGGAACUGAGCCAGAGCAAGCAGCAGCGAUUACUGACUGCCGAUCCGAGAAAUGCGAGCUUAAGCCUUCAGGACUGUCGGCCUGCUUAUUGAGCGAGUGGCACUAAACCAACGAAACUUUCAAUUAAAAACAUUGUUUAUUGGACUAUACAUAAAAUUGUAGCAUUUCAUGAUGACAUGUUUAUGGGUCUUAAUGGCAGGUAUUUCACUGUACAGUUCUUAGUGUAGAUGCUAUCUGAUGGGAGUCCUGCACUUGCUAAUGAGAAAUGCUUUGGAGCAGCUUGGGCGUCGGCUGCCAUGACUGUGCACUACUGCCUCUGCUCAUCUUUCUGGUUACCUUCUCUGUAGCAUGGCUGUCAGAUCAAGCUUUGUUUUACU